CAUAAUACAACGCAAUAUCGCAAUCAUUAAUUUAUUCUACGAAUAUACUAAAUAAUAAAAUAAAUAAAAGUGUAAAAUCGCCUAAAACCAGUUUUGUAUUCAUGGAAUUAUUAGAUAAGAGAGAGAUUAAUCCAGUCGACUGACCAGAAAAUAAUUUAACGAUCACUUAAUGACAUGAGUUAUUUUAAUCUAGCGUUUGCCAACCUGAGUAAAGUUAGUGAACUCAGUAAUAAAUCGCUCUCGUUAGCAGCAUCAACAUCAACAGCAUCAUAAUGAAGUGUCUACCCGUCCUUUUAAUUGUUUUAUUUGCGGGUAUAAAUGCAGCACCACAAAGCCAAAUCCUCGGCCGUGAGUGUAAUCAACCGAACACUGAAUUCCGACGCUGUGAAUUCUCAACGCGUGCGACGUGCCUUGUUCCCGAGCCGAAUUCCGACGAAUUCGCAGCGCAUUGCGAAGAUGGCUGCUUCUGCAUUGAGGGAUAUUAUUACAACGCCAACAACCAGUGUGUUUUGCUACGGGAUUGCGAGAGACGCUCGGCGCAGCGAGUGGAAGAGGAUCUAGAUCCCGAUGAGAACGAAAAUGAAGACAUCUCUGAGUAAACACGCUGUAAACUCAAUUUCUCAUCAAAAGAACAUGAUAAACAUGAGAUAUGUGUAAUAAAUGUAUUUGUUAUAUCAUCUCAGAAAUAAAUAUUUUGCUGGGUCA